rnacentral:rRNA from 1 species
AUUGAACGCUGGCGGCAGGCCUAACACAUGCAAGUCGAACGAGUGGCGGACGGGUGAGUAAUGGCUGGGAAACUGCCUGCUGGAGGGGGAUAACUAAUGAAAACGGUAGCUAAUACCGCAUACCAUCGGAUGUGCCCAGAUGGGAUUAGCUAGUAGGUGGGGUAACGGCUAACCUAGUCGACGAUCCCUAGCUGGUCGGAGAGGAGGACCAGCCAAACUGGAACGGAGACACGGUCAGGACUCCUACGGGAGGCAGAAGUGGGGAAUAUUGCACAAUGGGCGAAAGCCGGAGGAAGCAAGUCGGCGGGUAUGAAGAAGGCCUUCGGGUGGUAAAGUAUUUUCUUAGGGGAGGCGUUACCCGCACAAGAAGCACCGGCUAACUCCGUGCCAGCAGCCGCGGUAAUAC